rnacentral:rRNA from 1 species
UACGGAGGGGGCUAGCGUUGUUCGGAAUUACUGGGCGUAAAGCGCACGUAGGCGGCUUUGUAAGUUAGAGGUGAAAGCCCAGGGCUUAACCCUGGAAUUGCCUUUAAGACUGCAUCGCUGGAAUCCGGGAGAGGUGAGUGGAAUUCCGAGUGUAGAGGUGAAAUUCGUAGAUAUUCGGAAGAACACCAGUGGCGAAGGCGGCUCACUGGACCGGUAUUGACGCUGAUGUGCGAAAGCGUGGGGAGCAAACAGG